GAGGGUAUAGCUCAGUGGUAGAGUGUGUGCUUAGCAUGCACAGAGUCCUGGGUUCAAUCCCUAGUACCUCCA
rnacentral:tRNA from 1 species